GAGCCACCCAGGCGCCCCAGUAUCUUUCUCUUUUUAAAGAUUUCCCUUUGGCCACACAGCACUCAGCACUAUACUAGCUUUUAUACCGGAAUAGCAGUUCUCAGAGCAAUUUUACUCCUCAGGGUACAUUUGGCAAUGUUUGGAAACAGUUCUGGUUGCUGUAACUGGGGCGGAGAGUGGUGAAUGAUAAUAGCGUUUAGUUUGUCGAGGCCAGAGAUGCUGCUAAACCUUCUGCAAUGCACAGAAUGGCUCCCCGCACACGAAGUUCUCCAGCCUGCAGUGUCCACAGCACCGAGACUGAGAAGCCUUGUACCAGGGCGAGACAAGGGAAGGUGCAACCAGAAGCUGGCAGUGAGUACUGAAUGAUGAGCCAAGCAAUGGAUAAAAUUGGACCAACUGCAGACCCGUUUCCAAAUAAUAAGCAAUGUUUUACAAAUUGUCUUCUAGAAGGAACCAAGCCCAAGGAGAAUGUAUUCAGAGCCUACAUGAGAAGGUGCUUCUAAAGGGACAUUUCGGAGUUAGCCUACUGAUGCCAAGGUGGGCUCCAGCCAGAGUUGGACGUCUUGGUCAUAUAAGCUGCCUGCUGGGAAGCUCGCUUGUAAUAGGUGCUUUUCUUUUACUGAAGCCAUUGUUCCUCCCUCCCCCAACCCCUUGGCUGCAUCCCUUCAGGGGAUUUCCAAGCAAUUUGAAGACUAAC